CGCGCGUAGAUCGUUAACUCCCACUUGACGACGUGAUUAACAGGAUCUCGUUCAUCUGCUUUUGCUGCGCUCCGCUAAAAAUGAAAUUUCGUCGAUCUCGCGAUCGAAUGUUUCGAGGAUCGCGAUCCCGUAGCCGAUCUCGCACGUACCCUUCGAUCGAUCGCGCCACGUGAUAAAGUCGCGCUUAUUGGUACAAUAGGUGCGUAUAUCAUGUGUAACAAGGUACGUACGUACGUCGAUCACCGCAAAGCCACCGCACAUCGGAUUUUAACGCGCGCGCGCGGCGUCUUUCAUAUAAAGCCGCACGCGUUACGCAAAUAUGUUCGGGGAGCGCGCGGCCGCGUUCUUUGAGUGUGUUUAAAGCUCCGAGACCAAUGAUAUGUAAAUAGAUCGCGACAUUUUUAUACCACCCAGUGACUUUCACUAAUAAGAUUCAUUCCCGGGUUCCUCGUACUUAACUCUGAACAGCGGCGGCGGUGCGGCUGGUCGCGUAGCUCGUUGCUAAAUAACGUUUUCUUGCCACAAGUAUUAUAAUAUCAUCCGGACACGGGCUGUACCUCGUUGCGCACGUACAUACAUUUUCACGUACACCCGUGCAGAUGUGUAACUCACGAACAACGUCACAUGCUACAACCUAAUUACGUAAAAAAUCCGACACGAAUAGGAGGUACUCGCGUCAACCGAAUCCUUGGAGAAGAAGUUUGCGUCCCACGCUUUUUAUCGGUCAAAUUCAUUACGGAUCCUUCUUUUUUUUUUUUUCAUUUUUCAUCCAAAUCGUUCAAUGUGGUUUAGGACAAACGGAGAGGUCUUUUCAAAUAUUGACAAUGCCCCAGUAUUUAGCACAUCGAAUUCGAAUUCUCACGCUCGCUUCGCGAUAUUGUACACGGAGUGCCCCGUUUAACGUACCUACGCGUCGUACGAGAGAACGUUACACCUAGAGAUAUCGUUGUCCCGUGUAAGUCGUACGAGUACUCUGAUUAUAUUUUUUUUUUUCAACAGAAAUCCACUUAAGUGUGGGUACGUCACGCCGUAUUACCGGGUGUCAAUUAAUACGAGCGAAACCGAAUACCCCAUAUAUCGUACAAAAGUGAUGAGGUAAAUCGAGGGUGACGUUAGAACGCAUUCCGAAGGGCACGAGUUUUGCAGAAAUUGUUUGGCACCAAAAUUGGCAAAGUUGAUGCGAAUGGUGUCAGCGAGGUAAUAAAUUUCCUAAUGGUACCGCCAGCAACGAACUGCAUUAGUAGAUUACAUGUUACAGACAAUAAGGAGCUGAAACUGGGUUGAACGCAUUUAUUACAUGUACGAACCACUCGAGAAAUUAGCUCUGCCAUCGCGUCGUUUUUCUUCAAAUAUAAUUUACCCGCGUGUCUGAGAACCACAUGCGUGUAACAUAUCACGGUAGAUAGGUGCAUGUACGCGUCGCUUCCGAAGUACCUGGGCGUGUGUUUCACACGUACGAGUACAGGGAAUUAUUAUAUAUUGUGUGUAAAACAGGUAAACUUUCCACCUGAACCUGAAGAGUACGUAUAUAUAUAUAUAUAUUACAAUAAUGUUGUUACAUUCACUUGUGUACAUACGUGUCCAUAUACGUGCACAAUAUAUCCUACGUAAUUAUACACGGUGAAACCGACACCUCGAUAUAUUUGACCUUGAACUUCACGGGCGCGUUACGUGCCCAGACACCGUGGAAUCCGCUUCUUGAACCGGCGGGACGAAGGUACUCGUAUAAAAUGAAACACGUUCCUAUUUUUUUUUUUAUUUUUCAAUUUUUUUUUUUCAACUCUAACGAGAUUUUCGUCUUUGAUGAGAUUUUUUUUAUUUUAAAUUUUCGCGUUUUUCCGUACUCCACUUUCAAAGCUGCGAUUACAAGGAAGAAGAGAGGAGAAAAAAGAAACUUUUUCCAGGGCAGAGCGAAGUGCAGUUCAUUGGUUUUUUUUUUUCUUCAAAAAUGCAAAUUCAUCGUCACGGGAUAAUUCUGAGGGAGACGACCGAUGGCCCUGAUUCUCCUAUUUUGAGAAAAUUUUGGCCGUCGUGAAGAUAUGAAUAACGGAGACUCUAGAUGUCGAAGAGAAUGAAAAAAAAAGAAGUAAAUUUUCAUUUCGUCUGACGUGGGUGAAAAUCGCGAGUGACGCAAACGUCCGCGUCGUUAAAUACGGUAGCGUUUAAGUCGCUUUACGUAACAAAUACGUGGCGGUGCGAUGAAUCAGAAGUGAAUAGCCGUUAAGGAAUAUCUGCCUUGGCCGUCUUCUUUGCAGCGGAUGAGUUUUCAAGUUCAUCCGGUUGUUAUAUAUGUACCAUAAAAGCUACUAUCCUUCACGGACGGAGCCGCCUGUGUUUCGUUGUGUUGUAAAUACCUUAUGUACCGUACACAUAUAUAUAUACAUAUAUACAAACACCGGGAAGGGGUCAGCGACGCCGCGACGUGCGGAUUGCCGUGUUGCAUCACAACGGAUCGUUGCACCUGGAGGAGGUCGUAAAAGCGCGUCAUCGCGUAGCGGUGAGCUCGCUCGCGAGUCGUCCUCGAUCGUCUCGCGCGGGAUUCAAGAUCACGGAUCUUAGGGAUCUCUCGAUCGUCUGGGACGCCUCGUAUCGCCGACAAAUUGUACCGUUCGAUAAAAAAGAGACGCGAGACGAAGGUGAGACGCUAACGUAACUCAUCCGAGCGUGAUCACGUGCGAAGGGUACGUUCGGCGGCAGCUCGUGAUCCACGAUUUUUUUUCUUUUCCCCCACAGAAAAAAAUCGAACGAAAAAUCGGAGAGAUAAUUUGGUACGUCCCGAAUGAAAAGCUUCGUCGAUCGAAAUUUUAUUUCAUACUCGAAGUUCCGGACGACGACGUCGUGUUUCAGCAGGGAUUUUGCAACAGUUUCUCGUCGAACUGAAAACGGAGACGGAAGUGAUCCGCGAAAACUGAUCGAAUUUUAUACCUGAGGUGUUGAACGAAACCCACGUAUGCGAUGUCCGCCUCGUUUAUGUAAAUAUCUUUAUUAAAUAUUUGGCUCGAGGAUACGAAUACGUACAACGUUACAUAUUCGAGUAACCAAUUUUAUUUCAACAGUUCCUUGAAGCGAUUGUGACAGGUUGAUUUUUUUUCCCUUUUUUUUCCCUUUUUUUUUUUUUUCUCUCUUCUUUUUCUCAACGUUUCAAAUUUGUGUAUCGCAUGCGAACGUAUUAUAUCGCAGUUGCGUGAUCGAACAAUAUGAGAACAACCGCCAUACAGACUCGCUUUCGUUUCGCGAUGACGACGACUGAAUUUUUGACGUUUUGUGUCAAACUUACCCAUUUGUUUUAUUAAUUAAUAUCUUUUUUUUUUUUUUUUUCAUGUACACCCGAGAGUCAGGGCAACACCUUGAGGCGUAUCACAUCCUGACGUGGAUAUUCGUAAUUGUAACUGACACGAAUUUUAGAUACACGUUUCAAAAAACGGCGUCCUUGCCUAAUCAGUUUUUUGAAUGAAUAAUCGAAUAGCUACAAAUUAAUUUCAAAUACAAAUUCAAACGCUCCCAGCCAUUCGGCCUGUAAUUGGGUAUUCGCAUGGGCAUUACCCGUAUAAUUAAAAUUGUUCGAUAGUUAUUUUAUAUUUUGACAAAAAAAUAAAGAACCUAUGCGUAUUACACCUAUACCAUUAUACCAAUGCCUGUACGAUAUCGUUAUGAAAUAGAAUCGGUCCCAAUUUUGACAUUAAAAUAGCCAAAGGCCAAAUUCGUCGGUUUCGUUUCGCUGAGUGAGCGAAAAUUUCACGUGUAAACGUAGGUGGUGUAGGUCUGGAUCGUAUAUAUGAUCGUGAAAUUUAUCGAUCUUUCACUAAUUAUACACACUAAUUAUUUAUGUAUACAUAUUAUACGUUCUCGAUAUCGAUAAGCGACGUGUACGCGGUAUCUAUCCGGGUAAUUUUACCGACACUCCGAAAGUCUUUAUAAUAACCUGUGUAUGUUUUACAUUCGUUUAUCGAUUAUGUAACGCGUGUAAUUUCAACGAUUGAAAAAGAAA